CUCCCUCUCUCUCUGCCCCUCCCCCACUCAUGCUCUGUCUCUGUCUCAGAAAUAAACAUUAAAAAAAAAGAAGUAAUAUUCCCAAAUAAACUGUAAUUACAUAAUAUCAAAAGUCCUAAUCAGACAGUAAAAAUGGCAAAGAUAAUUUCAACCAAAUUAGAGGCUGUUCUCUCAUGUUCAUUGUCAAGGGAUAGCCUAUUUUAUUUUAUUCCUGAGGGUAAAGAGAUGAGACUAAUGUGGGCUUUUAUAUUUGAUGGAGAAAAUGGAAAGAAGGGGGCAUCGUUGAAAGAGAGAGGUGAUUAUUUAAAAACAAGGCAGUAUACUCUCUGGAUAAGUUUUUUGUUCUAUUAAAACUUUUCUUUGCGCUUCCUCUGGGAAUAGGUAUACAAAUAUCUGUUUGAAUUCCUGUGGAGUCUUGAUAAGUAUCACGGGGUUAUUCUUAAUUAUCUGUGUGAAGAACAUAGUAAUGCAUUUCUGAAGCAGAAAAGACAUAGGAAUAAAAAAAAUACUUCAAAUAAUUCUCAAUUUCUAUUUAGCAAGAUCUGAUAUGAGCAGGAAUAAUUAGAGUGAUAAAGUCUAACCGGCACUAGUAAAUUUGACUAAAAGCCAAGAGCAGCACAGCCAGGACAUUUAUGUUCAUGUUUAAAUUACUCAAGUGCUUAAUUGUUUAAUUUCAGUUUCAAUUACCAAAUGCCCUUACUUUUAAAAUUAGUCCUUUGAGUAUUAGCUGCAUGAUGUUGUUAUUAAAGUUGAAAAUCUGCUAUUAUGGUUUAGAGGAUUAUUAUGAAGUUGUUGGCAUAUGUCUUGUUUAAUAAAUAAGUUUAAUUGUGCAUGUAAUCUGGUAAUGUAAUAAUGAUGAAUUACAUUUUACAGAAAUGUAGAAUGACUAUUUUCUUCUUAGGGUAAAACAAAAUUACUUUUUAGGAUUUAUUUUCCAGAGGAAAUAUUUUACUAUAAAAAAUACCUAAGAUACCUCUUGCACAGUGUAAUUUCCCAUAAAGGGUGAGUGAGACUUAAUGGAGAUUUAAUACUAACGCCCCCCCCCCCCCAUAUAAAAGAGGUUAAGUGUAGGGAAAGGGGGUCCAACUAACAGGGGAAUGAUGUUUAUACCUUUAAUGAGUUCUUGGUUCAUCUUACCCCUAGAAUGUCAAGAAUAUGACAAAGUAGCCCAUAUAGUAAAUUAGUGUAUUUUUAUUUCAUGAGGCACCUUCCCGUUUAGAUAUGAACUUGAAGCUGCUAUUAAUGAUAAUGAGCUUCACUAGUCAAGAAAAUCCCUUGAGCUCAUCCUCAAUUACAGUACCUUGGGCAAAACCAUUGGAUUGGCAUUAUAUUGUUCAUGCUUUCAUCAGUUCUAGUUGUCUCUGUUGAAUUCUAGGGAGGAAAAACAAAUUGUUUUAGACCCGUAUCUCAGAAUAAGAAAUUUAAAAUUUUAGAAUUUUAGAAUUCAAGCAUAUACUCUUUCCUAGAUGAUAUUGGGCUCUCAGUUGAUUCUUAGAUGAAGUCUUUGCAUCAAGAAGGGUUGCUUAGGAGCGCCUGGGUGCCUCAGUCAGUUAAGUGUCUGACUUCGGCUCAGGUCAUGGUCUCACAAUUUGCGAGUUUGAGCCCCCCAUCAGGCUCUGUGCUGAUAGCUCAGAGCCUGGACCCUGCUUCGGAUUCUGUGUCUCCCUCUAUCUCUGGUCCUCCCCUGCUUGCACUCUGUCUCUGUCUCUCUCAAAAAUAAAUAAAUUAAAAAGAAAAAAAAAGAGAAGAGUUGCUUAAUUGACGUCUGCCUUCCUGUGAUUGGUGAAGAAAUGGAGGGACAAAAUGUUUCUUCAUCUUUUGUAUAAAAUCACAUAACUAAUGGCAGAGAAUGGACUAAAAUCCAGCUCCAAUAAUUAAAAAUUCAACUGAUAGAUUACCUAAUUUGUUUCUACAUAUUGAGAGGAGAUUGAAUGUUUUCAGAAAAUAAGGUUAUGAUGGGUCUGUAGAAUACUAAGCAACUAAAAAAUAAGAUAAUUAUUAUCUUCGGAAAAACAAGUUGUACUAGAAAAGAAAUUACACCAUGAGAUUCAGCUGUAAACAGUAUUUAUGUGAUCAUGCUACUUUAAACACUGAUUACUGAUUUAACACAAAAAGUGAUAGAACUGUUGGCAAGAUGGGGUAAGUGGAGUUGUGUAGGGCGUGAGGGGGGUGGGGGUAGUGGUUUGUAGUCUGUUGGCAAGGAGUCUGAUUUAGGUGGGCCAAUGUUUGUAAAACAGGUCUGUAAUGAACAGUGGAAAAAGAGAUUACAUUCUUGAGGAAGCUCAAGAAAAACUGCUCAUAACCAGCUGUGGCAGCACUGUUGCCACCCCCACCCAUAUUCUAUCAGCCCACCUGGAUUUGCCACAGCUGCAGUCAGUCCUGUACACGUGGAGCUUCUCACCUUAAUAUCUGCCAUCCAAGGGCUUGCUCUGGCUUUGCUGGUGUUGGGCUGGGCACAGGUGCAGGUUGUAAGAGUGGAGUCGGUUCUGUGCUCACUCAUCAGCCAAUGAGGGAUGGGUAUCGGUAGAUAAAUACCCCGCUUCCGCGUGUUCGGGUUUGUAGGUUUUGAGGUAUCUGCUCUGGAGCUGUUUAGAUGGUUCUGUCAGGACGGUUCUGCGGGUGUUCAUCAGUAUACAAGACUAAACAUAACAAUUAGUUGGAAAAUGGUGAUUGCAGAAAUCCUACAUACCAAAACAAAAGAUGCAUCUGAAUAUGAAGGGGAAGAUAAAAAUGAAGCCAGAGGCAAAAGCUAUUGACGUUGUGGCCAGAAAAAUGUCUCUUGGCAAGUAAACUGGAUCACAGCCUGAGUUGUCAGCAGUCAGUAAUACGGUGUCAAGAUGAUGGAGGAACUACACUGAACAACAGUAUUCUGUUGUUAAAUUUCAUUAGAUGAGUAUUUACAUUUUAAGGUGAAAUAAAAUGUUAAAUGGAUUUAUUAAA